rnacentral:rRNA from 1 species
GAUGAACGCUGGCGGCGUGCUUAACACAUGCAAGUCGAACGAUGAAGCCCAGCUUGCUGGGUGGAUUAGUGGCGAACGGGUGAGUAACACGUGAGUAACCUGCCCUUAACUCUGGGAUAAGCCUGGGAAACUGGGUCUAAUACCGGAUAGGAGCGCCUACCGCAUGGUGGGUGUUGGAAAGCUUUAUCGGUUUUGGAUGGACUCGCGGCCUAUCAGCUUGUUGGUGAGGUAAUGGCUCACCAAGGCGACGACGGGUAGCCGGCCUGAGAGGGUGAGCGGCGACACUGGGACUGAGACACGGCCCAGACUGCUACGGGAGGAAGCAGUGGGGAAGAUUGCACAAUGGGCGAAAGCCUGAUGCAGCGACGCCGCGUGAGGGAUGACGGCCUUCGGGGUGUAAACCUCUUUCAGUAGGGAAGAAGCGAAAGUGACGGUACCUGCAGAAGAAGCACCGGCUAACUACGUG